GAUUGAACGCUGGCGGCAGGCCUAACACAUGCAAGUCGAACGGUAGCACAGAGGAGCUUGCUCCUUGGGUGACGAGUGGCGGACGGGUGAGUAACACGUGGGUAACCUGCCCAUCAGCGGGGGAUAACACUUGGAAACAGGUGCUAAUACCGCAUAAUUCCAUUUACCGCAUGGUAGAUGGAUGAAAGGCGCUUUUGCGUCACUGAUGGAUGGACCCGCGGUGCAUUAGCUAGUUGGUGGGGUAACGGCCUACCAAGGCUGCGAUGCAUAGCCGACCUGAGAGGGUGAUCGGCCACACUGGGACUGAGACACGGCCCAGACUCCUACGGGAGGCAGCAGUAGGGAAUCUUCGGCAAUGGACGCAAGUCUGACCGAGCAACGCCGCGUGAGUGAAGAAGGUUUUCGGAUCGUAAAACUCUGUUGUUAGAGAAGAACAAGGAUGAGAGUGGAAAAUUCAUCCCUUGACGGUAUCUAACCAGAAAGCCACGGCUAACUACGUGCCAGCAGCCGCGGUAAUACGUAGGUGGCAAGCGUUGUCCGGAUUUAUUGGGCGUAAAGCGAGCGCAGGCGGUCUUUUAAGUCUGAUGUGAAAGCCCCCGGCUUAACCGGGGAGGGUCAUUGGAAACUGGGAGACUUGAGUGCAGAAGAGGAAAGCAGAAUUCCAUGUGUAGCGGUGAAAUGCGUAGAUAUAUGGAGGAACACCAGUGGCGAAGGCGGCUUUCUGGUCUGUAACUGACGCUGAGGCUCGAAAGCGUGGGGGGCAAACAGGAUUAGAUACCCUGGUAGUCCACGCCGUAAACGAUGAGUGCUAAGUGUUGGAGGGUUUCCGCCCUUCAGUGCUGCAGCAAACGCAUUAAGCACUCCGCCUGGGGAGUACGACCGCAAGGUUGAAACUCAA
rnacentral:rRNA from 1 species